CACACACACACACAACAUGCACAGAUACAUGUAUGCCUCCCCUCUAACAAGCACAGAAGCCUUUUCAGAUUUCUUCCUUGAAGGGAAGAGGCAUGCCCUCAGCCCUGAGGGAAGGAGCCAAAAAGCCUGUUUUUUGUUAGUUCUGGGCCUGCUGGCAAUGAGCCACCUGUGGGCUCCCUCUUUUGUCCCCCAAAAAUGUGAGCUGUCUGCACUGGUUACAAGUGGGAGAUGAGGACAUUGGGGAGCAGCACUUUUGGCCAGGGAUGUUGGUGGGAGGAAGGAGGCGGGUAAGAGGAGGGAGGGCUUCUUAAAAAUGUAUUCCCCUGAAGCCAGCAGGACUGCACACACACUUCCGCUAAGCCUGUUUCCCUAAGUCCCCCCAUGCCACUCAAGCGCGUAACUCAGAAGAGAGGCUUCCUUUGCUCCCUACCGAAUCACGUUUUCUUGGGUGGAUGUUAAGACAACGGGCAAAAACGAGCUAAAGUUUGGCAGUCUCCAGCCGUAUGUGGGAAUGCCACACGUGACCUCUGGGUCAUGUUCCAUGGUCAUUUAUUCUACUUCUGGAGGGAGCUAUUAGGAAAUCAAACCCCAGGAAGAUUUGGGACAAGCAUGGCCCUGGGACCCAUGUGCCAGGAAGCUGAUAAGGAUGUUCAGGAUUCUCUCCGUCAGAGCCUACGAGAAGUUCAAACCUCACACACCCCCUGUUCAUGUGCUAGGACCAUCCUCUACCUGUGAGAGCAUCCUGGUUUGACCCCUUCCCCAAGGAAACACUGAUGCUAGACGCUCCCCAUCAGCAGGAUCAGGCUGUGCUGGAGUUCAUCCUGAGAUUGGAUUUUAAUCAUCUCCUUUAUCUUUGGAGCUCCUGACUGCCUCCAGAAUGAUUGAUCUCCUUCCCCAUCAUCUGCCACAGUUCCAGACACCAUGCUUGGCGUCACUGAGAAUGAGCUAAGUCGCUCAGAAGAAUGUCAUUUUGCUCUGGGCAGAGGUUGUUUUAUUGUCUAUUCAGGUAAGAUGCAUAUACAGUGGAGAUGGCUGGGAAAGGCUCAGGGCACAGGUUUUGUCAGCAGAGACCAAACAGGUACUGUGGGUUUAAGGAAUUCACCCAGAGUUGGUCACUCUUUCUAGUGACCGCUUAUCUUUACACUACAGGUGUGCCACACCUGAUCCCUUUCUGUCUGGACUCUUCCCAGAAACAAAACACUGCCAAAUGCUUUCCUCUCAUUGCCUUUUUUUUUCUUGUUUCUUCACUAUCAAAGGGCUAAAAACAAACACCUAAGACCAGGAACACUCAUACCUGCCACUCCUGGUAACUCCCCUGCUCCACACUCCACACCUGCCUUUUCUGUAACUGCCCCUGCCCUGAUCGGCUAGAAUAUUCUAAAUCUACAGACUGCAUUUUGUCUUGUUAACUAGUCUUUCAGAACGAUCCCUAGCCUGUAGUAUUUGGAUUUCGAUGGCCAUGAAGUACCCAGAUCUCAUUAGUAGUCACCAAGGAUUCAACACCUUCAGGUCAGCAUUUGAGUAAAACUUAAAGCCAUGUUUCCCUAGCUUGGGAACACCCCCAAAGACACCUCUGUAGAAUCUGGUUUGAGAAACAACACAUUGAAAGUUAAAUGUUGCUCAUGGAGACAGUACUGCAAUGUCGACAGAACCUUAAACCCUGACAGAAAUGUGGCCCCUGAUAUAUCCUUAAAACGUAUUGUCCAAAUAACUCGUAACAUGAACAUAAAAGCAGCUUGCAUAAAGGAAAAACAUUAAAGGCAGGUCAUCAUGAAUUCCAGAGAAUGGAGCCAUAAAGCUGCACGAUCAUCUUGUACAUUCCAAGAAUCUGAGGUGACCAAGCACCUACAGACUUUUCCUUGUGAACGCUCAGCCUUUUACUAAAGUCUGUUUUCUGGUGUCUCUGUGACCCCCGAAUGACAGAACUCAAAUGUCUCUGACAUGUCAGAUUUUUAAGUUAAGCAUAGGAAAAGAUUUGCUCAUGUCUUCACUGAGACAUCCAGGGGGUACUCACAGCUGUGACCUACAGUUACCCAUGGCCCUAUAUUCCCCAGGGAUUCAUGGGCUGUGACCUAUACUGUGACCUGAGCUCCUACACUUCAAGGGAUCCAGUGGCCAUUGUUCUCUUGAAAGUCUGAAUAGUUUUCACCAGGUGCUGAGCAUUUCCGUUUUGCCCCUCCCCUUAAAAUAUACAAUUAUGGAGACACAUCCCCAUUUACUGCCAGGUGGCUAAGUGACACAAGCCAGGCUGGGAGAAACUGUAGUGAAAACUGGUUCCAUGUGACCAUGGUGCACUGAUAGGAAACUGAAGAUUCGAGGAAGACUCCUCGGGGAAAAAGAAGUGUGAGUCGGGUUAUUAGAGGCUGCCUCUGUGUGAUCCAGUGGCCAAAAUCUGGAGCUGGAUUUUUAAAAAAUAGACUUUAUUCCAAAGAGAGAAAGCAAGGGAGAGACUUGAGAGCUCACUGGCUCUCUAGAAAGUGCAGGAAAAAGCAAUGUAUUGAUAAGAAGCAGAACCCUGCUUCAGAGACUCAGACUCCUGAUCAGAGGAACACCAGUGAUGCGAGAGGUGGGAGUCCUACCCCCAGGACACACUCAUAUACCCCCCCAAAACCUCAAAUCCAGUUGUGAGUCUUGGUGAGGUAGUGACCCCUCGGACAGGCAGUGUUUUCAAUCUGUAAGAUUCAGGGUGCAGUGGCCAGGUGUCACAUUCAGAGAGGAGUUGUGUAAUACAGAACACAAACUGACUGAAGGAUAAAGUCACAUGAUUAGCUCUCAACAGAUGCCAAAACAGUUUUGACAAAGUUUAACAUCCCUUCAUGAUAAGAGAAUAGAAGAAGCAUACUUCGACAUGGUGCGCACACACACACACACACA
rnacentral:sRNA from 1 species